CUAUCUCCCUCGCUCUGUCUCUUUUUGUAGGCUCGUGUAAAAGCUGCUCAAUCCAAAAUGUUUCUCUGUAUGUUUCAUGUAACGAAAUUUUUUUGAAUUGGAAUCGCGUAGAGUAGUUCUAAACUGAGCAGCAGCAGUCAAAUUGAUUAAAAAUUAAAAGAAAACGACAUUAAAAAUCUAAAAACUAUAAAAA